AUACAUUUCUCGGCCUUUUGGCUAAGAUCAAGUGUAAUAUUUGAUCUUAUCAAUUUAAGAGGGAUUGGACAAACAUCACCCCUGCCUAAAACAUUAAGCACAACUCACUGGGAAGCUCAGGCAUAAACUCAAGCAUGCACUCAAUAAUAUUGAGAAAUAAACACAAAAGGUUUUCCUUUUUAUUAGUUAUCCUUG
rfam:Picea glauca, whole genome shotgun sequence.